GGAUGUGAGGGAGAUCUGGCUGUGACACCUGUCACCCCAUUGAUCGCCAGGGUUGACUCAGCUGAUCAGGCUGGUGAGGUGAGUGUCCCCCUGCUCUGCACCACUCCAUGUCCUGAAGCCAUGUGCUUGGUCCAAGGGCAUAACCACCCUGGAUAGAGGAGGACUGUUUUCUUGAUCAAGGGAAUACAGUUAGCUGUGCUUCCCUGCUAGAACCUCCAAAUAAGCUCUCAAAUACAGGGCUACAGUUUUUUAAAAAGCAUCCAACAAAUCCUUAAUCAGUU
ensembl:misc_RNA 7SK 7SK RNA